rnacentral:antisense_RNA from 2 species
CUUUAUGGCGGCUGUGUGCGGGCAGACUUCGGUCUGGCCGGUUGCCUGCUCCGGUGGAUCUCACCCUGCACAUAGCUGCCACCUCU